GGAUGUGAGAGCGAUCUGGCUGCAACACCUGUCACCCCAUUGAUCGCCAGGGUUGUUCGGCUGAUCUGGCUGGCUAGGCAGGGGUCCCCUUCCUCCCUCACCGCUCUGUGUGCGUCCCUCCCCAAGCUACGUGCUCUGUGGAAGAGGAUGGCCUUCCCCGAAUACUGACCGACCGGUCUCAGGUCGAGGGUAUAUGAUUAGCUGUGCUCCCCUGCUAGAACCUCCAAACAAGCUCUCAAGAAACAGGGAAGUGACAUCCAAAUCAAUCAUCACCUUCUCUGAACCUAUCACUGACUUGGUUUUGCCAAGAAAUUCUUU
ensembl:misc_RNA 7SK 7SK RNA